rnacentral:tRNA from 1 species
GGGGGUAUAGCUCAGUGAUAGAGCGUGUGCUUUGUAUGCAUGAGGUCCUGGGUUCAAUCCCCAGUACCUCUG